rnacentral:rRNA from 1 species
AGAGUUUGAUCAUGGCUCAGGAUGAACGCUGGCGGCGUGCCUAAUACAUGCAAGUCGAGCGAACGGACGAGAAGCUUGCUUCUCUGAUGUUAGCGGCGGACGGGUGAGUAACACGUGGAUAACCUACCUAUAAGACUGGGAUAACUUCGGGAAACCGGAGCUAAUACCGGAUAAUAUUUUGAACCGCAUGGUUCAAAAGUGAAAGACGGUCUUGCUGUCACUUAUAGAUGGAUCCGCGCUGCAUUAGCUAGUUGGUAAGGUAACGGCUUACCAAGGCAACGAUGCAUAGCCGACCUGAGAGGGUGAUCGGCCACACUGGAACUGAGACACGGUCCAGACUCCUACGGGAGGCAGCAGUAGGGAAUCUUCCGCAAUGGGCGAAAGCCUGACGGAGCAACGCCGCGUGAGUGAUGAAGGUCUUCGGAUCGUAAAACUCUGUUAUUAGGGAAGAACAUAUGUGUAAGUAACUGUGCACAUCUUGACGGUACCUAAUCAGAAAGCCACGGCUAACUACGUGCCAGCAGCCGCGGUAAUACGUAGGUGGCAAGCGUUAUCCGGAAUUAUUGGGCGUAAAGCGCGCGUAGGCGGUUUUUUAAGUCUGAUGUGAAAGCCCACGGCUCAACCGUGGAGGGUCAUUGGAAACUGGAAAACUUGAGUGCAGAAGAGGAAAGUGGAAUUCCAUGUGUAGCGGUGAAAUGCGCAGAGAUAUGGAGGAACACCAGUGGCGAAGGCGACUUUCUGGUCUGUAACUGACGCUGAUGUGCGAAAGCG